rnacentral:rRNA from 1 species
UACGGGGGGUGCGAGCGUUGUCCGGAAUCACUGGGCGUAAAGGGCGCGUAGGUGGCGUCGUAAGUUUGUGGUGAAAGCCCGGAGCUCAACUCCGGGUCUGCCGCGAAUACUGCGAGGCUUGAGUACUGUAGAGGGGGUAGAAUAUCGGGUGUAGCGGUGGAAUGCGUAGAGAUCCGGAAGAACACCGGUGGCGAAGGCAGCCCCCUGGGCUGACACUGACGCUCAGGCACGAAAGCGUGGGGAGCAAACAGG